rnacentral:rRNA from 1 species
ACGCACGCUGGCGGCGUGCUUAACACAUGCCAGUCGAACGGAAAGGCCCUGCUUUUGUGGGGUGCUCGAGUGGCGAACGGGUGAGUAACACGUGAGUAACCUGCCCUUGACUUUGGGAUAACUUCAGGAAACUGGGGCUAAUACCGGAUAGGAGCUCCUGCUGCAUGGUGGGGGUUGGAAAGUUUCGGCGGUUGGGGAUGGACUCGCGGAUUAUCAGCUUGUUGGUGGGGUAGUGGCUUACCAAGGCUUUGACGGGUAGCCGGCCUGAGAGGGUGACCGGCCACAUUGGGACUGAGAUACGGCCCAGACUCCUGCGGGAGGCAGCAGUGGGGAAUAUUGCACAAUGGGCGGAAGCCUGAUGCAGCAACGCCGCGUGCGGGAUGACGGCCUUCGGGUUGUAAACCGCUUUCGCCUGUGACGAAGCGUGAGUGACGGUAAUGGGUAAAGAAGCACCGGCUAACUACGUG